GCAGAUUUCCUUUGAGAAUGAGGACUGAGAGGUCAUAUAUAGAGUGAUCGCUUUGUGAAAAGUGAUCACCUACACAUGAUAUGGUGUUUUCUGUGUGAGUUCAUUCAAGAGAGUAGUGAUUGUCUGGUUUCAUCCACAGAGUUGUUGUUGGGGAAUUUAGGACACUUGAUGCAGUACUCCAUGUUUCGCAGACCCAAAGAAGAGCUCUAUGUAAACUUGAAAGCUCGUCUCUCUAACCAGCAGAAGUUGGUCCAAUAAAAUACCACACCCACCUUGUCUCUCCAGUACCUGAUGACAGAGUAUAGCUACCUUCUGCACAUCACAUAAACACAUAUUUCCAUUUCAACCUACACUGACCCUUCAAUAUUUAAGUGUCCUGUUUCAGAGUUAAUUAUGAAAUCUAGUGGCUUAUGGGGGAAAUUAAGGGAGGAGGGAGUGCAGGGAUAGCAACAUUUUAUACCAUGACUAUGGGUGAGGUGGGAGAUAUGUGACAGCUCAUUCAGUGUUAUGUAUUUGUUUUGUCUAUAAUGAUAACAUGUUGGAAGAUAUGCUAUUUUUGGUCAUGCUCUUUCAGUAUGUAGGCUUGUGGAUGAACAAUUUAUUAGGUACAACAUUGAUCUCAUAUUUGUCAAAAAGAAUGCAUUGAUCCCAUUGGUACUGGGAAUAGUAAUGUAUGUUUUGGGGUUUUUUGUAAAGCUAACGCUAACAACUGUUUAUUUUACAUUGAACAAUAUUACUAACUGGUUCUCACAUUGCUGAUGUUAGCAGUUACAGCUUUAAAAUCAUGAGAGAUUAUAGUUUUCUAUUUGAAUUGUAAUGUUCAAUGUAAAAUUGUUGACACAGAUAAGAGAUCAUUCAUCUCAGUUUCCCCAACUAGGCUUGAGCUUAAAAACUUGGGAUCCUUGAUCUAGUGCAUGAAAACAUUCCCCACAAAGGUAUGUUGUGAGCAGAUAUUGCUCAUAUAUUUUAACAUGUAUUGUUAAAGAGGAAUUUACAAAGAAGUGACCUGUCACAAGCCUCCCACUUUACCUACGGUCAUAUACAUGACACAAAAUUCUACAACUCCUUUUUCCACCUCAAAAUCACAGCCAGUCCUGGGGAUGAAUUUUCCCUUUUUUUGUAAAUAAAACAAGAUAUGUUAACCUAAUCUAUGUCUACAGGGUAUUGUCUUCUUCAGGCUGACCAGUGCAGGAAAAAACAUUAAUCACUCCCCUGAUACUAAAAAUGUAAACUUUAUCAUGUUUUCUAAAGGGAUGUCAUAGGAAGAAGUGUUAAUAAUGUGAAAGUCCCAGUCCAAAGUGAAACUGCAGAAUGCAUCCUAGAACUGUGCCAGUUGUUGACAGCUUCACACUCUUGUAGUCUGCUGCUUGCUGAUCCAGCAACACAAUUUUCUGAGUCAUCCUCAAGUCUGAUUGCCCCGAUUCAGACACUAAAUCUAAAUACACUAUCACACUUGUGAAAAGACAGUAGCUGUAAAUAUGUUUCAAGGAUUUGGCAGAGGAGCCGAAGUUCAUAAUACAAUGGACAAGAAGUCAAAAUGGCUUUGGCUCUCACUGGGAGGCGUAAAGCUGGAGAAGAGAACAGCAAUAUGUGUCACUCAGAGGAAAGAGAAUCCAACACUCAUGUGAGAGAGGCCAAAGUACAUGUUAACUUGAGGGAGGCCUACACAUCAGAUUCCUCUCUCAUCUGGGAUUGCCAGUAAAGUGGCAGAAGUACCAAAAUGGAAGGUACUGGAGAAAAACUUCUGCAUUUCUGGAGAGUCAACAAAGGUGGACCAGGACAUGAUACCAUCAACAUGUGCAAACUGAAGGUGAGGAUUGUAGAGCCUGUAAAUAUGUUCCCUAGGUGUUCCAGAGAAAAUUGCUGCAGAUGCUGGUGAACACUUAGGGUUUUAUAAUUUAAAGAAGAAUAUUGUAACUGUUGGUGUUAAUUUCUAUCUGCAUGAAAUGUGCUAUCCUUGAACUAAUCUUUACGGCUUCUUACCCCGUUCUCCAAAUGGCUUGUCAAAACUCUCCUCUGCUGUAAGCCCUACAAGAAUUUAGCAAACUAAUGAGGGCUAGAUUGGGGGUGAUUGUGUUCAGGAUAGCUGAUAUUUAUUGAUUUUUUUUAAAAAAUACUGUGAAAUGAUUCCAAGCAACUAUCAAGUUGUACAUGUAUGACCUAGUCCAAACCUAUUGAAGUCAAUAGGAGUCUUAACAUUGACUUUGAUGUGUUUUGGAUUAGCUUCAUAUUUAACUUUUAUAUAGCGGUGUGAUCUUAAUUCUGUCACCUUCAUGCUCCUCCCACCCUCUUUUCCUUCCAUUGUUUUGUAGCCUUCACUUGUGAUUCUUGUCUUAAUUUUGACUGAAAGCUAUUUGGGGCAGGGUCUUCCUAUUUCUUCUUCUGUGCACCUGGCCCAUCAGGGUAAUCCACUGGCGGGCUGCGAGACAGUUUGUUUACAUUGA